ncrna:unclassified sequences Mu-gpT-DE RNA
CCUUAACANUCGCAUGGUGCGGCUGACAUUUGCCAAGAUAAGGAGAUUUACAUG